rnacentral:rRNA from 2 species
AGUGGGGCGCAGGCCCUAAAACAUGCAAGUCGAGCGGUAGAGAGAAGCUUGCUUCUCUUGAGAGCGGCGGACGGGUGAGUAAUACCUAGGAAUCUGCCUGAUAGUGGGGGAUAACGUUCGGAAACGGACGCUAAUACCGCAUACGUCCUACGGGAGAAAGCAGGGGACCUUCGGGCCUUGCGCUAUCAGAUGAGCCUAGGUCGGAUUAGCUAGUUGGUGAGGUAAUGGCUCACCAAGGCUACGAUCCGUAACUGGUCUGAGAGGAUGAUCAGUCACACUGGAACUGAGACACGGUCCAGACUCCUACGGGAGGCAGCAGUGGGGAAUAUUGGACAAUGGGCGAAAGCCUGAUCCAGCCAUGCCGCGUGUGUGAAGAAGGUCUUCGGAUUGUAAAGCACUUUAAGUUGGGAGGAAGGGUUUUAACUUAAUACUCUGCAAUUUUGACGUUACCGACAGAAUAAGCACCGGCUAACUCUGUGCCAGCAGCCGCGGUAAUACAGAGGGUGCAAGCGUUAAUCGGAAUUACUGGGCGUAAAGCGCGCGUAGGUGGUUUGUUAAGUUGAAUGUGAAAUCCCCGGGCUCAACCUGGGAACUGCAUCCAAAACUGACUGACUAGAGUAUGGUAGAGGGUGGUGGAAUUUCCUGUGUAGCGGUGAAAUGCGUAGAUAUAGGAAGGAACACCAGUGGCGAAGGCGACUACCUGGACUGAUACUGACACUGAGGUGCGAAAGCGUGGGGAGCAACAGGAUUAGAUACCCUGGUAGUCCACGCCGUAAACGAUGUCAACUAGCCGUUGGAAGUCUUGAGCUUUUAGUGGCGCAGCUAACGCAUUAAGUUGACCGCCUGGGGAGUACGGCCGCAAGGUUAAAACUCAAAUGAAUUGACGGGGCCCGCACAAGCGGUGGAGCAUGUGGUUUAAUUCGAAGCAACGCGAAGAACCUUACCAGCCUUGACAUCCAAUGAACUUUCUAGAGAUAGAUUGGUGCCUUCGGGAACAUUGAGACAGGUGCUGCAUGGCUGUCG